UGAGUCGUCCAGACGAUCGCUGGAUCCAAUAAGUGGCCCAGAGGAAAGUCCGAACACCAUAGGGCAGGGUGCUCCAUAACGUGGAGUCACGGUAACGUGAAGGAAAGUGCAACAGAAAGUAUACCGCCCUGCAUUAAGCAGGGUAAGGGUGAAAAGGUGCGGUAAGAGCGCACCAGUUCUUCGGGUGACCGGAGAAGCUUUGUAAACCCCACCCGGUGCAAGACCAAAUAGGGGAGUGUUUGAGAAUGGCCCGUUCAAGCUCCCGGGUAGGUCGCAAGAGGUGCCGGGCAACCGGCAUUCAUAGAUGAAUGAUCGUUACCCGGCUGAGGGCAACCUCAUCCGGUUACAGAAUUCGGCUUACGGACGGCUCGGACC
rnacentral:RNase_P_RNA from 1 species